rfam:Hordeum vulgare subsp. vulgare, WGS project CAJW01000000 data, contig: morex_contig_65961
AUUAUACUCCCUCCGUCUCAAAAUUCUCGUCUUACAUUUGCCUAAAUAUAGAUGUAUGUAACACUAAAACAUAACUAGAUACAUCCGUAUUUAGACAAAUCUAAGACAAAAAAUUGGGACGAAGGGAGUACAUU